rnacentral:rRNA from 1 species
GACGAACGCUGGCGGCGUGCCUAAUACAUGCAAGUAGAACGCAGUUGCGAACGGGUGAGUAACGCGUAGGUAACUGCCUGGUAGCGGGGGCUAACUAUUGGAAACGAUAGCUCAUACCGCAUACUACCAGAUGGACCUGCGUUGUAUUAGCUAGUGGGUGGGGUAACGGCUCACCAAGGCAACGUUACAUAGCCGGGCUGAGAGGGUGAUCGGCCACACUGGGACUUGGACACGGCCCAGACUCCUACGGGAGGCAGCAGGAGGGAAUCGUCGGCAAUGGGGGGAAACCCGGCCGAGCAACGCCGCGGUAGUGGAGAAGGGUUUCGGAUCGGAAAGCUCUGUUGUUAAGGGAGCGGUACUUAACCAGGAAGGGACGGCUAACUACGUGCCAGCAGCCGCGGUAAUAC